AUCUGGCGAGGAACAGAACAAAACAGAAGGAGUAGCGUCACUUGGGGUGCGGGAGGACCUUGUGUCUGCGCCCCGGGUGACUGCGUCCUCUCUAACCCUCCUGGGCAUCUUCUCCCCUCUCGACCCCCGGUUCCCAGAGGCCUGGUUUGAACGAGUAACGUCCUGCCUGACCUUUGGCCCAUCCCAGAAACCCGGUCCCAAGGUGUGUGAGCCUCUCUUUCCCCCCCAUCUGAUUUUCCUAGUCCAAUGCCAAGAAGGGACCUGACAGCCAGGAGCGGGGUCGCGCCCGCUGCGUGGCGCUGGCACCAUGGCCUGCGCCAACAGAUUGCUCACCCUCCUCCGGGAAAGCUAAGAAAACAGCACUAAGCCUUGCAAGCUGCGGCCCAUUAAUGCCUCUUAGCUCGCAAGAUGGGCGACUUGCUCCGAGCCAGGCCCUCCCCCUCCUGGCUUCUCACAUUCUCCUCCCCCUCGCCCCUUCUGUUUCCCUCCUCUCUGCGCCACGGUCCUCUUGCCUUCGCCCUGCUUCUCUCCCUCCACCCAGCCCCCACACCUUCCUUUUGUUUCCAGCUUCUCUUCACCCUCCCCUCCUUUUUCUUUUCCCCUACCCUCCGUUUCCCUCUCUUCCUUUCCGCGUUUCCCCCACUUGCUUCGGGUCGUCCGAGGCCAUCCAGCCUUUCAACAGUCCCAGUGCUCCAAAGGCGUCGGGAGCCCCCGCCUCCUCGCCUCGCCUCUCCUCUCCGUUCCCCGGUCGGAAAACAAAAUGUAUGUUGCAGGAGACGGGAGCAUUUCUAAGGCCUGCAGCAGCUUGGAUGUGGAAAUCCACUGCAGUGGUUUCCUGGACACCUCCCCUACUGCCAGCUGUGGGCAUUCUAGUCCACUACUGAGAAAACACCACCCAGCCUGGCGAUGAAGGCCUCUUCUCUCCAGGAAUCAACUGUUCAAGAGGCAGGCUGCUCACUCCCAAGAAGAAAGAUUGGAGAUUAUCUCAAAGGAAAGGAUUUUGUGGAGCAAGAAACUGCUAAACUGCCACUUGCCCUGGGUCCAAGCCUGUUGGGUGCAAGCCUGUAAAGGUGGAAAGCUUAGGCCCUGCGGGUAGUUGGCCAUGCUGUCGCCCAGCUUGAGCAAACAGUCUGAAAAGCCCUUAAAGACUGCAUCGCACUUGCCCGCUGCUCUCACGGCCUGCACCAGGCACUGCUGGAGCAGACCCUGCAGAGCGCAUGUGUGUGAGCGUGUGUAAAAUACGAAUUCGAGAACAUUUCUGUGACUCGAAAUUGUGGCUUCUAGAGAUCUAGCUCUCACUGGAAAGCCAGAAGCAGUGCGCGGGACAGAUGUAGGUAGGCACAAGCCUCUGCGCACAUAGGUCCAGUUCCCAGCCCUCCCUGAACCCGGUUUCUGUAACCCCCAGGCAGGCAGCCGACCUGUUUCCUCUACAUCCCUAUCCAGUGCGGUUUCCAUUUUGCUCAUUCAUUUCUUGGACCUCUCUCAUUCAUUCCAAACUUCCUCAUUCGUUCUCCAUCCUCUACUUCCCCGCCCCUCCCCAACCCCCACGCUUCUUGCCAAAUGUCAGUAAUUUGGGACAGCUUCUAUCCAUGAAUUAAUAAAGACUGAGGCUCUGAUGAAAAAAAAAAAAAGAAGGUAGAUAUUUGAGAACAUAUACGUUUUAAUUCCACUAUGAAAAUUUUGGUCAUUUUCAGGCUGAGGUUACUUAAUGCAUCUCUCCUGCAAUUACUGUUUCAUUAUAUUCUCUAUUCUCAUCUACUAGGAAAACAGAGUCCCCAAGUAUCUUCCAGUGAAGCCCCUCUCUUAAAACAUUAGCUGUUUCUUAAUCUAUGAACACUAGUCGUCUACCUGAAAAAUGCCACACUCACUUAUUUCUAACACUUAAAGAAUUUGCUGCCCUUGGGAUCCACGUCCUACAAUGGCUGCAGCUCUUUGAACUAAUGUCAAAGGCACAAAACCACCAGAUACAAAGCAUUAAGUCAUUUCCUAAAAUUAAAGGAAAAGCCAACAUCCCGGUGCAUGCUCCUCGCUUUGCAAAAUCACAGUAUCUGCAAAAAGAUAAACAAAUAAACAACCAAAAAAAUCUCCCAAAGCAAAUUCUCAAGAUCAUGUCAAAUGCAUAUGGACCCCGAUGGAAAGAAUCAGUUUUAAUGUUCCGAGAGCCCCAAUUUCUCUAUAUUUCUUAUGAAGAAAAAAAAAUGUGAAGUAUUCCUUCUCUGUCCCACACAAAUUCCCUGACGCACCCCUGAAAUGCUGCAAGGAUAUGUCCGUAAAGAAUGCUACAGCCUGGCACGAACAGUUCUCUCCAGCUCCUGAAUAACCACUGGAGACUUUCUAUUUUUUUUUUUCCUUUUGCCCAUUCUAUUAAUAAGCUCCCUUACUUUCACUUUUCAGUUCCAUUAGUUAAUGUUUCCGUCCGGUAUCACUAGUAUUUAAAACAUUUGCAUUUUGGAUGGAAAAAAUAUAUGAACUUUAUAAAAGCUUCCCAACAGUGUAGCUGAGACUCGACAUUCCUUAACAUAAAAAGGGGGGACUAAAUCAAUCCAUCCAUAAACCGCCGCAAACAAAAAUAACAAACACACGAAAAGACAUAUUGCAAACACGUUAAACCACUUUCCUGUGUAAAAAUAACAGAGAUGCUAGUCUGUAAAAUCACAGAUACACAUGAGCCUGGAAAAGUAGAUCAGUGCAUAUUUGGUAGAUUUAUCCUUCUCGGAGUAGUCUGCGGUGCCCGGAGCAAAGGCUGCAGCUAGGAUAUGGGGGAGGGGCGGGGGAAGGACAAAGUUCUAAAUGCUGCAGUUUGAGGGCAGCCUUAGAAUAUCUUUGCUUUCUGCAUAUAAACUUUUCAGCCCUA